rnacentral:rRNA from 1 species
AACGAACGUUGGCGGCAGGCCUAACACAUGCAAGUCGAGCGAGACCUUCGGGUCUAGCGGCGGACGGGUGAGUAACGCGUGGGAACGUGCCCUUUGGUUCGGAAUAGCCCCGGGAAACUGGGAGUAAUACCGGAUAAGCCCUACGGGGGAAAGAUUUAUCGCCAAAGGAUCGGCCCGCGUUGGAUUAGGUAGUUGGUGGGGUAAUGGCCUACCAAGCCGACGAUCCAUAGCUGGUUUGAGAGGAUGAUCAGCCACACUGGGACUGAGACACGGCCCAGACUCCUACGGGAGGCAGCAGUGGGGAAUCUUAGACAAUGGGGGAAACCCGUGAUCUAGCCAUGCCGCGUGAGCGAUGAAGGCCUUAGGGUUGUAAAGCUCUUUCAGUGGGAAGGAUAAUGACUGUACCCACA